rnacentral:rRNA from 1 species
CCUACGGGUGGCAGCAGUGAGGCAUAUUGGUCACUGGGCGCGAGCCUGAACCAGCCACGUCGCGUGAGGGAAGACGUUUCUAUGGAUUGUAAACCUCUUUUGUCGGGGAGCAAAAGACGCCACGCGUGGCGUUCCGAGAGUACCCGAAGAAAACGCAUCGGCUAACUCCGUGCCAGCAUCCGCGGUAAUACGGAGUAUGCGAGCGUUAUCCGGAUUUAUUGGGUUUAAAGGGUGCGCAGGCGGAAGAUCAAGUCAGCGGUAAAAUUGAGAUGCUCAACCUCUUCGAGCCGUUGAAACUGGUUUGCUUGAGUGAGUGAGAAGUAUGCGGAAGGCGUGGUGUAGCGGUGAAAUGCAUAGAUAUCAGGCAGAACUCCGAUUGCGAAGGCAGCAUACCGGCGCUCAACUGACGCUCAUGCACGAAAGUGUGGGUAGCGAACAGGAUUAGAUACCCCUGUAGUC